GAUGAACGCUGGCGGCGUGCCUAAUACAUGCAAGUCGAGCGAACAGACGAGGAGCUUGCUCCUCUGACGUUAGCGGCGGACGGGUGAGUAACACGUGGAUAACCUACCUAUAAGACUGGGAUAACUUCGGGAAACCGGAGCUAAUACCGGAUAAUAUAUUGAACCUCAUGGUUCAAUAGUGAAAGACGGUUUUGCUGUCACUUAUAGAUGGAUCCGCGCAGCAUUAGCUAGUUGGUAAGGUAACGGCUUACCAAGGCAACGAUGCGUAGCCGACCUGAGAGGGUGAUCGGCCACACUGGAACUGAGACACGGUCCAGACUCCUACGGGAGGCAGCAGUAGGGAAUCUUCCGCAAUGGGCGAAAGCUUGACGGAGCAACGCCGCGUGAGUGAUGAAGGUCUUCGGAUCGUAAAACUCUGUUAUUAGGGAAGAACAAAUGUGUAAGUAACUAUGCACGUCUUGACGGUACCUAAUCAGAAAGCCACGGCUAACUACGUG
rnacentral:rRNA from 1 species